rnacentral:rRNA from 1 species
UGCUUUCUUUGCUGUCGAGCGGCGGACGGGUGAGUAAUGCCUAGAUAUCUGCCUAGUCGUGGGGGAUAACAGUUGGAAACGACUGCUAAUACCGCAUACGCCCUACGGGGGAAAGGAGGGGACCUUCGGGCCUUUCGCGAUUAGAUGAGUCUAGGUGGGAUUAGCUAGUUGGUGAGGUAAGAGCUCACCAAGGCGACGAUCCCUAGCUGUUCUGAGAGGAUGAUCAGCCACACUGGGACUGAGACACGGCCCAGACUCCUACGGGAGGCAGCAGUGGGGAAUAUUGCACAAUGGGGGAAACCCUGAUGCAGCCAUGCCGCGUGUGUGAAGAAGGCCUUCGGGUUGUAAAGCACUUUCAGCGAGGAGGAAAGGUUGGUAGUUAAUAGCUGGCCAGCUGUGACGUUACUCGCAGAAGAAGCACCGGCUAACUUCGUGCCAGCAGCCGCGGUAAUACGAGGGGUGCAAGCGUUAAUCGGAAUUACUGGGCGUAAAGCGUACGCAGGCGGUUUGUUAAGCAAGAUGUGAAAGCCCCGGGCUCAACCUGGGAAUUGCAUUUUGAACUGGCAAACUAGAGUCUUGUAGAGGGGGGUA